CAAUGGUGGAGUAAAAGGUCUCCACGCACCUGCCAUUAAAAGUUUCAAACGAUGCCAUGGAUGGAGCGACAGCGCAUACUCGAUCCAGGUAGCAUGGAAACUUAUUUGGCGGAGCGAACUGAAGAAAAAAUCCCGUCGGGUCCAGCGAUAUGCUCGUUCUAUCCAAAAUUGCGGCUAUCUCGGUAGAUGAGGGUCAGAUCAUGCAUAAUUUGGUGAUAGAUCCGUCGUCCUUGGGCACUUCGAUCCAAUCGCAGCAAUGGCAAUCCGCCCGCCCCCCGCCCUUUACAUCCCUUCGUCGUUCCCGCCAUUUAGAGAGAAGAAGAAGUAUCUCGGAUACGGGAAAGCCUUGGGAUGCGGAAGAAGAUCUUUUUCUAUUUCCAAGGAGCCGAUGCGGAAGAAAGUGAUCGAGAGAGGAAUGGGAAAAGAAGCUCAAAGAUACACAUAUUUUGACAAAGAACCAUGAAUAAGCUGGUGAUGAACUUUCUUCUGACCGAAGGUUUUGCUUUGGCCGCGAAGAAGUUCCAGCUCGAAUCUGGAAUUGAACUCGCAUGCUUAAAUUCUUUUUAGUGAUGCAUUUCAUUGUAUCAGUAGUCUUGAUAUAUCCUCUGUUCCCUGCUUUUCCUUAUUGCCAAACAGCAGAUAUGGAUCUCAAAACAGUAGAGGACCGCAAGGCUUUGAAGGAAACCGUGUUGUCUGGUAAUAAUGAGGACGCUAUCCGGACAAUCAAUGAUUGGAAGCCACGGCUACAGGAUAUGAAUCGCCAACUCAAGUUCCAGUUACAGCAGCAGAGGUUGAUAGAAAUUAUUCGCUGCAGAAAAAGAUGAGAGGCUCUGGAAUGUGCUCGGAAGCUUGCACCAAGGGCUUGUGUGAAUCCGAGUUUUGAAAGAGUAUGAGAGGACAAUGGCAAUGAUGGCGCUCAAAGAUGUAAAGCCAGCUUGUUGUGGAGAGCUUCUGGAUGUUUCCCAGCAUGCAAAAACUGCAAAAGAGAUGGAUGUAUCCAUUCUUACUAGUGAGGGCCAUGACAAAGACUCAUUGCUCUCAAGUUUGCUUAGGAUGCUGAUAUGGGUUUCAGAAGCAGCUUGACAAAAAGGCUGCUUAUCCACACAUCAUCAAUAUACAGACAGCAUCACUUGAAGGCCUAGCAAUCUGAACUGAUGAAAGUCAUCUGUGUUGAAUCAAGAGUUUCUAUUCUUAAAAUCAGAACAGUCAUCAUCAGAGUUGAGGGCACAGCUCAAUGGAUCGUCCUAGAACUUACUCUCUUCUCGCUUCCUUUCUUCAUGACUUUCUUGAGUCCUGCAUUCAUCUUCCAGAAAAGGUUUCUAAAAUGCUUCUUACUGCAGUUAUUUCCUCAUUUCAAUGUCCCUACUCAGCUCAUCUCUGUUAUUUUAGCACAAAACUACUUAGAAUUCUGGCAGGAACUCUAAACUUGAAGACCUCGACAACAAAACUCUCCUUUUCUACCUACUUAGAGGACCAAGGAAGGCCUUGAACUAUGUUUUGUGGCCUUGGGACUUCUACUACUUCGUAUUCCUGUUGUUGAUCUCCAAACUUGGCAAAUGGUCCAUAGUUCUGCUCUAUUUAUCUACCAAUUCAUAGUGUGCCCAAACGACUUGUAUAGUUUUUGGCCCCACGACUUGAACAAGCUCUGGGAAGAUAAAAAGAAAUAAAAAAGGACCUUAAAAUUGAAAUUUUUUGAUGGUGAUGAUGUAUAACUUUCUUCACCCAAAAA